rnacentral:rRNA from 1 species
UACGUAGGGUGCAAGCGUUGUCCGGAAUUAUUGGGCGUAAAGAGCUCGUAGGCGGUCUGUCGCGUCUGGUGUGAAAACUCAAGGCUUAACCUCGGGCCUGCAUCGGGUACGGGCAGACUAGAGUGCGGUAGGGGAGACUGGAAUUCCUGGUGUAGCGGUGAAAUGCGCAGAUAUCAGGAGGAACACCGGUGGCGAAGGCGGGUCUCUGGGCCGUAACUGGACGCUGAGGAGCGAAAGCAUGGGGAGCGAACAGG